GGAAAAGGGGGUAGAUUAUUGAAUCUCCUUUUAAACUAAAAUAACCACUAGUCUCAAAUAGUUAACAUUGGUAUGGAUUUUUUUUUAUAGUGGUACAAUUUUCUUUUUUCCAGACAGGGUUUCUCUGUGUAGCUUUGUAGACCAGGCUAGUCUCCAACUCACAGAGAUCUGCCUGCCUCUGCCUCCUGAGUGUUGGCAUUAAAGGCAAGCACCACCAUAGUGAUACAUGAUCCCAGCCAUAGGAUACAAAUUUAAGGUUAUUUUUGUUACAUUGUAUAUGUGUUUCUACUCUUGUUUAAGGUAUUUUUGUAUAUUGAUUCAAAUUUAGGGUUAUUUUUGUUAUACUGUAUAUGUUUCUGCCCUUGUUUAAGGUGUUUUACCUAUGCAGCUCAUUUAACAAUGUGAAGUUCUAAUACUUAAAAAUUAUUAUUAAAAACUAUUUAGGAUAAUUAAUAAGUACAGGUUAGUAGUUAGUCAUCUAUAGUAAUCAAAUUUGUGACCAUGUUUGGUAUGUUUUCUAGGCUAAACAGAGAUAUAGUUUAGAUAGAUGGUUUUUAAACACUUCAGAGACCUAUAGAAUAUGGCAUUUAAAAUGUUUUAAUAACAUAAGGCUUUCAUGACAGACAGCAAGACAAGUCUGCUACUGGUAGCACCAAUGUAUUUAAAAAGGAUGACAGGAGUUCGAGGCCAGCCUGGUCUACAGAGUGAGUUCUAGGACAGCUUCCAAAGCUAUAGAGAAACCCCGUUUUGAAAAACCAAAGAAAAGAAAAGAAAGAAAAAAAAAAGGAUGAUGGGAAUUGAGGAAUCUCCAUUUGGAGUUUGCUUUCAUUGUGCAAAGUUAGCCACUGGGCAAAAACUGCCCUUGCCUGGACUGCUGACAGUAUUUGUCCAAAUUGGACAAGCAGGGCUCAAAAGAAGGUGACUGCUGAACUUCGCCAAGACAAGGUAAGACAGUCCUUCAAAAUUUCUACUUCACACAAGUCUGUCAGAUAUUCUAGGCCUGUAGGCCAAAGAUGGAUGCUCUAACAUUACAGAGGAAUCUUGGGUGACUGUCCAGGCAGCCAGAUGUCUCUUUCUAUAGCUUUGGAAUUUGCUUUCUCCGAACGACCUGUUGACUCAGUGGAGGAAGAAGAGCUGUCUGUAGGCACCCGUGUCUGUGUUCUGAGUACAUCAGCUCCUCUGUCUCCAGUAUGGCCUCUGCCCAUGGACUUCACUUCAGGC
rnacentral:lncRNA from 1 species